CGUCACCGCCGCGGCGGCGCGCCCGGCCCGAGAUUGGAAGAAACGCGAGGAGGAGUCUCGUUUGAUAUCUAUGGAGCUUCCAGGCUACAAGCGCUGGGAAGUGGGGAAUAUCUUCUUUUCAACAGGAUGAAAUUUCUGUUUCUAACCACCAUGGGCCACAAGAUAUUGGACUUGGAACAACUAAUAGACCUGUGAAUUUCCAUGGCUCCUAUAUUUGAAUUUGCUGUGGUAUAAGACAAAUGAAAAUAAAAGUCUCACACUCUAA